rnacentral:rRNA from 1 species
GAUGAACGCUGGCGGCGUGCCUAAUACAUGCAAGUCGAGCGAACAGACGAGGAGCUUGCUCCUCUGACGUUAGCGGCGGACGGGUGAGUAACACGUGGAUAACCUACCUAUAAGACUGGGAUAACUUCGGGAAACCGGAGCUAAUACCGGAUAACAUGUUGAACCGCAUGGUUCAACAGUGAAAGACGGUCUUGCUGUCACUUGUAGAUGGAUCCGCGCCGCAUUAGCUAGUUGGUAAGGUAACGGCUUACCAAGGCAACGAUGCGUAGCCGACCUGAGAGGGUGAUCGGCCGCACUGGAACUGAGACACGGUCCAGACUCCUACGGGAGGCAGCAGUAGGGAAUCUUCCGCAAUGGGCGAAAGCCUGACGGAGCAACGCCGCGUGAGUGAAGAAGGUCUUCGGAUCGUAAAACUCUGUUAUGAGGGAAGAACAAAUGUGUAAGUAACUAUGCACGUCUUGACGGUACCUAAUCAGAAAGCCACGGCUAACUACGUG